AAAACAUGCAGCUUUACUUGUCCAAAAGUAAAAAUCUUGAUUGUACAAUGUAAAAGUGGAUACCACUAGCAAAUGCCAUAUUCAUCAAAAGCAAAAUUUAAUUUGACAACUCAAUACUCCAUAAUUUACAUAAUUCCAGUUAACUGAAUGCUUAAAACAUGCCCUCACAUAUACAGUUCACGUUCAAGCCAAUGCAGAUUAGUCCUUUUUCUCUAAAAAAAUAAAACAAGAAAAAAAAAACUUUUCUUGUUUUCCCUUGGCAAGGAUAAUUUUCCUGGUGAAGACUAAGAUGAUCACAAAAAUAUAACCUACAGGUAAAUGUAUGGAUGAAAACAAUGGAACUCAGAAAAAAAAAUGCAAAUAUUAUUUCAUAGAUUUCAUUUAUGGAAUGAGGUUAGUAAACA
rnacentral:misc_RNA from 1 species